rfam:Cucumis sativus cultivar 9930 chromosome 5, whole genome shotgun sequence.
UGGAGAAGAGUUUAUCAAUUUGGCCAAAAAUGAUUGCCUGAUAUACAAACGUCUAAUACAAGCUCUACAACACAUAGUUUGCAUAGUAGGCAAGUCAUUUUUGGCCAUCAUCGAGUAAAACUCUUCCCU